UGGCCACAGAUGUGUUUAAUUCCAAAAACCUGGCUGUUCAGGCACAAAAGAAGAUCUUGGGUAAAAUGGUGUCCAAAUCCAUCGCCACCACCUUAAUAGACGACACGAGCAGUGAGGUUUUAGAUGAGCUCUACAGAGUGACCAAGGAGUACACCCAAAACAAGAAGGAGGCAGAGAAAAUCAUCAAAAACCUCAUCAAAACAGUCAUCAAGCUGGCCAUUCUUUACAGGAAUAAUCAAUUUAAUCAAGAUGAGCUGGCACUCAUGGAGAAAUUUAAGAAGAAAGUUCAUCAGCUUGCUAUGACGGUGGUCAGCUUCCAUCAGGUGGAUUACACCUUUGACCGGAAUGUGUUGUCUAAGCUGCUAAAUGAAUGCAGGGAUAUGCUCCACCAAAUCAUUCAGCGUCACCUCACCGCAAAAUCACAUGGACGGGUUAAUAAUGUCUUCGAUCAUUUUUCAAAUUGUGAAUUUUUGGCUGCCUUGUAUAAUCCCUUUGGAAACUUUAAACCCCACUUACAAAAACUUUGUGAUGGUGUCAACAAAAUGUUGGAUGAAGAGAACAUAUGAGCAUAUGAGUUAAGAUUGUGACUGCUCGUGAUUUAUUUGAAGAUGGAGCACUGCUGACUUAUGAAGGAAAAAAGAAUUUUUUUAAGAUUACACAUGUUUCAGAAAGACUUUCCCCAAUUCAGUUGUCAAGCAUUAAUGAUAAUGCUUUUAUGGGGCAUGUUUUAUUUGAAGAAAAGCAUAUUUCCAAAAAUUCUAGUGAAAAGCUUCCUAAUGGUUAACAGAUUAUGGGGAAAAUGUGUGGUUGGAUAAUUCAAAUGUAGAGUUAUACAAAGAAAGAUAAGUAUGGUUCCAAACCUCAAGAUAUCUUUUUUAGGGCAGUUGUUGUAUUGGUAGCGCAUCGGAUAUUUCUAACAUGUACAAAGUUAUGUAUUUUGAUUCAUUUCUAUUCCUUACUAUGUAUAUGUGCCUCUUUUAAAAAGCCAACAGCUUUCUCCUGCUGUUACUGCUCCUUUAGAAGUAAUUCCAUUUUCACGUUUACCUCAAUCCUUUCAUUAAAGUUUUUGUCAUUGACAUUCAAGAAUUAAGUCUGAGGCCAUCAAAAUGAACCCUCAGAAGAAUAGAAAACUGCUCAUCUGAAAUCAUUACUGUGGAAAUGAACUAUAUUGGACAUUGUCAGUAAUGGCCAAAGUAAGAAUAUGCUUCUGGAAUUGAGUACUGUUUUUUAAACCAGUGGUGAUACUUAAAUUCCCAGAAAUGUAAUAUAUCAUUGCCUCGAAAUGCAUGGUUAAAGCUUAACUUUCAUGUUAUCUUGAAAAUGUGCUAAUGAAAUCUUCAUUUUUCAUAUAAGUUUCAAAUAUAAUAGACAAAGUGACAGUCUAGAUUGUGCUUGAUAUUGGGAUAAUGCAAAGUAAGUGGUAUUAAGAAAGAGAAAACAAUCUUCAUUUUAGGGAAAAACCCACCAAAAUAACGGGGAGUAGGAGCAAAAGAGAAGAAAGGAUAUUGCUACAGAAUGAGCAUGAAAAUGAAUGCAUUUCAAAUGUUUAAGAAGAUCCGAUAGAUAGGAACUGCGUUGAAAACACUGAGGCACCAACCAGAAAAAAUGAGUCAAUUUUUGUUUCUAAAAUGCUGAAAAGGAAAAUCUUUAGGAGCCAAUAAUUACGUAUUGCCAUCACAAAGUACUGAAAAUUCAUUUUCUGUUUUGCUAAGGUGUGUCCUCUUGUCAAUAACUUCUGCAUAUUCUCUGGGAUAUGAUCAUGAGGUAGUUUAUAUCAGCCCAGAGCCAGGAAGACAUUUAUAUCUUGGGGAAUUUCCCAAAAUGGAAACAUUUUUGUGUAAUUUUGAUUCAUUUCUGUUCUAGCCAAAGAUGUAUUUUCCACCUAGCAAUGAAUAUCAGCCCCAAGUUUAUAGAGGGCAAGCCACUUCAAACACAGUACUGUCUGCUGAGUACUGAAAAAGUAUACGGACAAGUCAGCCAGCAUUUACAGUUGAGAAAAACAUCUGUGCUUCAGAAAAUGUUCUUCAAGCAAAGAGAAUUGUGCUUUGUGUCCACAGAAUUUCCGUGAGAUCUUCAUAAGAUGAGUCAGCCAAUGGAUAAGGCCCUUUUAUCUUCCUUAAUGGGUGGCCAAGAAGAUUCUCUGCCUCCCCCUGUAACAGCUGCCUAACUCGGUGUUUCUUCCUCAUAGAAAUAAGCUGGCUAAACAGGCACUUGAAGUUUGUUCUUAACACAAGGAAAGAAUACUGGAUUUUUGAAAACUGUGUUCUGACUCACAGAAUGGUCAAAGACAAUGUGCUUCUCUGUUCUCAGUUUUUUCCGUUUAAAAGCUUACAGAUGGAUUAAUUAAGCUCUUUAAAACUGCCUAAUGUGAGUUAUAAACACAAGACAGGAAAGUAAAAAUUCAGAGUAUAAAUGUUGAGAUUAUCACCAUUAUCUGGGAUGAUUGAUGUUUAUAAGAAGCCCAGGUUCCAUUUUCUAAGAAACAGCCUUUCUUCAGCCCAGCAGGAGCCACCACUUACCCAUUCCAAGUGGUGCAUCAGCAUCUUUUUGCUCUUCUAAGACCACUUGCUUUCACUAAAGGAUAAAUACUUGCCAAGCAAAUUAUAAAAUUUUAUAAGCCAUUUAAUGCCCUGGAAGAGGACUUGCUGAUGAUUAGAUAAAAGUGCCGGUGUUAUUGCUGUUCCCUAGUGAUAACGGACUUUGUGUUCUCAUCACUGAGAAGACACAUUUUCAGUUUGCUAAAAUAUUCACUGGAGAACAUAGAGUGAAAUCCAUGAGUGGAAACAUUCCAAGGUAUUUUCAAACACCAUGUGUCAGGAGUUUGGCAUCUGUUCCUCAGGGGGGACUCACUGGAGGGUGGCCAGGUAGAACCCGGCAGGGUACAGAAGGGUGUGUUUGGGGGCAGUCAGGAAACCAGCAUUUCCAGCCCCUGGUCUGCCAGGGAACUCUCUGGUCUGUGGCCUUAUCUCUAAAAUUUGGAUUAAAUCAACAACCUCAUGUUCUCAUUUUAAGAGUAAAAUUGAACAAAACAGAGAGGGCUUUGAAACCUCAAGGCUCUUCCUGUGUGAGGUAUUGUUAACUGGUGCCUUUCAGUGUUUCCAAAUUAGCAGUGAAAAUAAGCCUGGAGCCUACGAUAAAUUAAGCAACAGACUUAAACAGCUUGAGUGGGUUUUAUUAAAUCCCAGUCCCCUUAAAAGUUUGUUUUUUGCUUUCAAUUUAGGAAAAUUGUUUUGGGUUUCUAAAAGUGACUUAUGUUUGAUCCCUUAGCCAAUUAAAUUCUGAAUCUCUUAAA